GGUCCUGGUUCCAAGCACAGUUAGAGGGAUAAAGAAGAAAGAUGCCACUCACCACCAGGUACCCCCCCCCCCCCAAUUAAUUCCAGUGUCCUCUUGUUCUUAUUUGGGAUCUUUCCUUAAGCUAUCUUAGUUCUAGGAAAUAGUUUCCCUGGUACCUAAAACUUGUAUUUGAGGCAAUGUGUUGAAGCACAGUGUCCCAAGUUAGCUUUCUGACUUGGACCCCUUUUGAAGAGAGAUCACUCUUACUAACUCAGCAGUAAGCUAGGAGAGGGAAGAGGGAGAAUAUGGGAACUAACAUUGUUAGGCAUCCAUGUCUUAUUUUAAAGCUCGUGGGUGCUAUACUCCAUGGCCAACACAGUACAAGGAAAAAGGAGAGUUCUAAAACACUGCUCCUCUAAAUAUCAAUGUCAGACUUAGUAAUAUUUGAGACCUACGGUACCAAAAAUUAUUAGCAGUGGGUCACGAACUCCCCUGCCUUGUAUUGAUCAUGUAGACGAGGAACCUAGUGUCCACCCUGUGUCUGCAAAGGAGCUGCCACACUUUAACCUACUCAUAAGAAGUGCCAGGUGCUCUGACCAACUGGGAGUGCAGUCAAUGGAUUGUUCACAGCGUCAGCCCUGGGACACCCAUUCUAUUGGGUGUAGCCUCCACACUUUGUGGCAGAAGUCGGGGGACAAAGAGAGGAAGACUGGCUCUUCAGCAGGGCUACCACCUUUAGCAACGCCGGAGAGAAGGGGCCCAGUGCACGUGUGCACACGUCCCAUGCAGGUGAUACUGGUGUGCUGGCAAGGGGAGCGGGGUCUCUAAUGUAUGGCUCCCCACACUCCCCACCUGGCAUACCUCAUUGUCACACUCAGCCAGGACCUGGUCGUAUUCACUCAGCGCAACCAAGAAUAUGAUGGAGGUGACGCUCUCAAAGCAGUGGAUCCACUUCCGCCUUUCGGAUCGCUGGCCACCCACGUCCACCAUCCUGUCCAACAGAAACACAGGUCUCAAAGGCUGGGUUCGUGGCUCUGUAGGAGGGCGUGCUCAUUCCAUGGAAGUCAAUACGUCUUGGCUUCCUCUGUCAUCUUCAGGAGUGAAAAAGGGUCCUGAGACUGAAAGGUUUGAGCACCACUGCUUUCGACAAUGAGGAACCAGCAGGGGAGGAUGGAGUGUAAGUGACGUUACUGAAAGCAGGUGCAGAGGUCACUCAGGUUCAGAAGCUGCAAUUGCCCAGGCAGAAAGCACAGGCCUCCCCUGGGCAUUGCUCUACCCACUGGAGGGCCAGGCACCAGCCACCAAAGGGGCAGAACGGCAGCCAGUCUUCCAGGUCCACUCAGCUUCCUCCAGGCCUUUGCUCCUUCCUGUUUCCAUGCCUCUGAUUUAUCCACAAAUCCUUUCUCCAUUAGGUGGAUGCUGCCCCUUCUUCCCUGUAAAGAUGUGUAAGUGCCCUCUGUCGCACAUGGGAAAGAUUGCAGGGCCUUGUCGCCAUAGGAUCAAUCCCACGCUUGAAUGCUACAUCCAGGGGUCAGGCAGGCCUCUGCUACAUAGAUGUAUUCUCUUUGGCCAACGUAGUGUUUUGAAGAGCUUUUGAGUUAACAUUUAAAAUACCAGCUGUUUCACUUAGAACAUUUGUUAUCUAAUUGGAGGAUCUGGUCACAGUGAGCCUGCAUUUUGUCCCCCAGUGGCUGGCGUCCCUGUGCGGCAGCCAUCCCUUUAGACAGGGCCCCUCGCCCUCCAGAAGUGCAUGCUAUUCUAUAGACGUGCAAAGGCCUGCCUGACCCCUGACAUCUUUCCCAAAUGGGACAGAGGGCACUUAUAUCUUUCCAGGGAAGAAGGGGCAGCAUCCAGGGUGAAGAGAAAGGUGGGUUCCUCUCUAUCUAGCACUUGACACCAACCACAAUUCUAAAAACCCUGUGAUGGAGAGGGCCCAUUGCCCUGAAAAAUAAGAACCCUUUGGGGGACUUCCAAACCUGCACAAAUUCUUAAUGGACUGUACCAGGGGGACAUUCUUACCGAAAGAUGAUGUUUUCCAGGUCAAACGGAUACUCGAUGAUGCCAGUUGUGGGCACGCGAACACGAAGCACAUCUUGCUGUGUCGGCACAUAUGACGGCAAGGCGAUCCGGUCAAUAUCAGUCAGGUAACUGCAAUAUCAGAGAACACGUUGCUGAGACUCAUUUUACAGAAUGGAGAAGUGUUCAUCCCACUCCAGGAAGUCACCCCAGCUCAGAGCCACCCCUACUCAGAUUCCUGGGGUCCAUCAAUGACUCUGAGAGCCAGCCGUCCUGCAAUUGUUUCAGAAGGAAUGUGGAAAGGAUCCCACAUGAGCCUUCGGGAAACCUGUCGAUCACUCCAUCACUUCCGACUGGUUCUAGCCCAUCACUGGCCGGAGGAAGAGGAAGUAGAGUUUAACCCCCUGCCUUCCAAAGGCCCUUCCCCUCCCACACUCAUCCUCAGCCAAGAACAUUGGCUGAGGAUGCUGCUCUCUGGCACUCUGCUGAGUGAACUAGAGUUUUUAAGAAAACACAAAGCAUAAAACAGGCCAACAGGAAGUUUGAAAUAACAAUGAGAAAGGUUUUCCUGUUACAUGGGGAAAUUAAACAUCUAAAAUAAACCAAAACUUGUCUUGGAUUAUUUUUGCCAUAUAUGAAAUCCCUGAGCUUACAGUAUAUCAUUUUUCUGAGGUAAAAUAAGAGGGCACUUAAAAAUGCCUUUUUUAAGGCUUAAAAAAAUUUUUUUGAGUAAAACAACUAACUCAGGCCCUGGUCAAUGACAGAGUUGAUUCCGAGCCCAGCAGCCUACUGCAAACUACCCUGUGUCCCAAUAAGUGACCCCAAGGCUAAUCGUCACUGACUUCCAUAUGUGUAGUUUUUUUACUUACACAUGUCUAGUUCCACCAGAAACAAGACAAGUGUAAGUAAUGUUCCUUGACAUCAGAGAGCACUGGUUGUACCUGCCACCCUCACCAAAGUGCCUGGUCCGUGGCAGGCACACCUCACAUUUUGUGCAGUGAAUACCUGUCCAAAUAAUCACGUGACCAGCAGAGCAGAUGACAACCACUGACCUGGUCUAAGAAAAUGCAUAGAUGUCUCUAGUCUCCCCAGUUCCAAAGGCGGGGCAAUUGUCUGCUGCAACUCUGUCCACCAAUCUAGUCACUUUCAAUGUUCUUCUCAUACUUGCUGCCCCAGAUUUCAGGGGUCCGUUGAAUUUUAUGGUGCCUCCAAUAGGUCUUUUCCAAAUGGAUCCACAUCAAGAGCCUCAGCAAGUGAUGCUAGGCUCUGUCCAGGAAGAUGCCGGGACGCCAUGUCCGACCAGGCUGUCCCUGGCUCCCAGCUGUCACCCGCAGGCUGCCCUCCUCUUUGGGAAACUGCCUCCCUUCCUUCUGCCUCUUUUCUGAAGUUCCAACACCUUAGUGGGACUCCUUGUAUUUCCUUUCCACAUAAAUGUUCCUGAGCUCAGGUCAAUUGUGCAAACCUGGAUUAAUGGAUUAAACAUUCAGCCUGGGACCAACCCCAAAGGUAAGAUUUCAGCUUCCUCUCCUGCUCACUGCCUGGUCCAGGUGAUGGGAGUGGAUCCCCGCCGCCCCCCCACACACACCAGAUCCGAGGGCAGCACCUGAAGGGAAGGGGACGUCUCGGGGAAAGGACUUUGGAGCCCUCAGAAGAUGGAAGGUGAUAUGGUCCAAGGGGUAAAGAGCUGAGCUGCAGGAAUCGUCUCUUGAAGGACUAAGAUUCAGAUUGUCCAGUGAUUUGUCUGGCUGAGGCACUGCCUCAGGAAAUUCUUAAGAAAAUGAAAUUUUGGUCAUCUCCCUGGGACCCUUUACAUGCAGGCCUAUGUAAUUUUUUUACUCUAAAGAUAACAUUUAAAACUUGAGCUUUAUGGAAAAAAAAAAAUAGUGUGUAGGCCUUUGCAAAUUGUUAAUAAACCAAGAGCUCCCAGAUUGAACUUCCUCCCUGGGUCUUGCCCACUAGAGGGCAGCACAUGACCAGCCACUGCCGGCCUAUAGCAUUGAGAUCUAAACUCUGAUUUUUAGAUUUUAGGGUAAUUGGACCUUGGGUCUACUGAUCAGGAAUUCCGAAGGCAAAGAGGUGUGGAGAGGAGGAAAGUAGAAGCCAGAAGCAGAUGCAGUCCUCCUCUAAGAUCAUUUCAGCACCCCAAAUGAGAUCAGUUCCGCCAAGGGAACACCACAUUUGCUUUCGCCUCAUUGAAAAGGACAGAGGCUCGGGACAUGGCUGGGACAGAACCACCACUUCUGCUGCUCCGAAGGAAGAACACGGAAAACAGAUGUCCUACAUGUGUGUUUGGCUUGGAAUUCCCAGGGAGAUGGUGAAAGGAGCUGGACACGAAGUGGUGCCUUGCUGGUUUCACAUGUGGCCCGUGGCUGCCGGGGUGACAGCCCCAGUCCAGCCCAGAGAGCCCCUCUGGCUGGAACCCAGAGCCCAGCGGGCAGCCCAGCGCUCCACCAGAUUCUCCCUGGGAAAGCACCCGCUACCUUUCCCCCACACACACCAUCAGCUGCCCAGGACUGCAGGGUGAGAGCUUUCUCUCCGACUGCCUUUCUCACUAACUAGGGCAGUGAUGGCGAACCUA